UACGUAGGUGACAAGCGUUGUCCGGAUUUACUGGGCGUAAAGGGCGCGUAGGCGGCGCGGUAAGUCACUUGUGAAAUCUCUGAGCUUAACUCAGAACGGCCAAGUGAUACUGCAGUGCUAGAGUGCAGAAGGGGCAAUCGGAAUUCUUGGUGUAGCGGUGAAAUGCGUAGAUAUCAAGAGGAACACCUGAGGUGAAGACGGGUUGCUGGGCUGACACUGACGCUGAGGCGCGAAAGCCAGGGGAGCAAACGGG
rnacentral:rRNA from 1 species